AUGCUCCUUUCGGCAGCAUAUUUACUAAAAUUAGAAUGAUACAGAGAAGAUUAGUAUGGCCCCUGUGCAAGGAUGACAUGCAAAUUUGUGAAGCGUUCCAUAUUUUU
ensembl:snRNA U6 U6 spliceosomal RNA